CUUUAGAUGCCGACUCGAGGAUGAGGGACUCCUCUCUGCUUUCUCCAUCUGCAGCCACCUUUUUGUGGGUGGAGUGAACCUGACCAUACGCCUGUGUGGACAUGAUUGUGGAGAGAUCGAUUACAGUAAUCCUGAAGGGGUUCGGGAAUUUCACACACUCACAGCACCAUGGCAGCCAAAAUGCUAACGACUCCGUCAGGGCUGGUGGCCUGGCUGACUUUGGAACCCCUGGCUUUUCACACUUGAAAUCGUUAAGCCCAGGUCAUUCUAAACCCCAGCACAAGUUUAGGUUCUGUCCUGCCAUAGGGGUAAGCUCCUCUCCACUGACGUCUUCGCCUUCCGGCAGGAUCUGAUGAUUCAAGCAAGUAUCUGAGCUCUGAACGGUAGGACGGAGCUUACGCCAAAUUAUCUAAAUGCCUCUCCAUUCAUAAUAAUUCCAAUCAUCCCGAGUCUUUUUCUUCAGUAUGUGUAGCAUUCAUGUAACUAACGGCUAAAGCAUUUCUUAAAGGCCGUUUAGACCAACGCAGUGCAACGAACCCAGACAGCACACGUAUGUCUCCGAGAUGUCUAUUUUAGAUCUUUUCAUCUGGAGAGCAUCUAACAUCUGCUAAACAUCUUAAAAAGAUCAGAUUUACAAUUAUUCUUAAUCAUAAAUGUCUCAAAGACAUUUGCUGAAUGUCUUAUUGACAUCCGAGACAUACGUCUUAUAGAUGUAUUGCAGAUGAGCAAACAAUGUAAAAUAGACAUCUUCCAGAUGUAAACACAAACAUUAAAUAGACGUGUGCUAUCAGGGAAUAGAGUAUGACACAGGUGUCUUGAGAUACGUUUUUAACGGUUGACAUUCUUUUUAAUUUGACAAAAGAACUUAAAAAAAAAAAAUUGUGGUGCUCCUGUACAAGACACCAAAAACACAGUGAAAUGUAAGUCAACGGUCAAAGACAUCCAUUUAGCAUGUUUACAUAGAAAAACAACUGAAAAACAGCAUGGAUGGACGCAACAGCGCUUUUGGUGAUAACAGUCCCUUAUUAACAAGACACAGCACCAGUGGAAGUUUCUCAAAGUUAACUCUCAAAAAAAAAAAAAAAAAAAAAAAAAAAACUGUAUUUUGACUGUAGGUAAAAAUAUACACUUUAUACAAUGAUUGGUUUGUUUUCCUUUUUCUAAAAUAUUCCAUUGCUGUUUUAAUGGGUGAGAAACUGCUGCAAAUUAUUCAGUGAGAUAGCAGUCCAAACUAAUCGGACUGAAUAGAUAAUCGAUUCAGAACUUUUUGCUAACCCGUUUGGCCAAUUCGCUGAAAAGAACCAAAUCAGUAGAAUUAUUUCUUUGUGAAUUGGGCAUCACUAGUUCUGAUUCUACACAGCAGACUGAAAUGCGGGACAAACGUCAUGAUCUCUGAUAUUGUCAGUCAAAAAUGUUUGUCAAAUAAGCUGAAGCUUUCACUAUAUAUAUAUUUAUUUUAGAAGGGACUCGACUGGAUUCGGGGUUAAGUCCAAGUCCUUACUUGUUCAAGUUCGAGUCAAGACCGAGUCAAAUUACUCACGAGUCCAUGACAAGACCAAGUCCAUGAAAAUGUGGUCUUGGACUCGAGACUACAACAGCACUCGUACUACAACACUGGUUUAUUUAACAUAUGACUCUGGUGGGCUUCUUAAAUCUCCCCAACAGCACCCAGCAAGCCAACCAAUUUGACAUUAUAAAACUACACAUUGUUCAAAAACAAGAAAAGCAAAGCUGUAACUAGGGAUUCAUGAUAUAUCGGUGACCAUUUCGGUAUUGAUCAAUUUUUAGCAUUUUUUCAGAAAUAAUCAUAUUGAUCUGAAACAGGUCAAUUAGGUGCAAAUAAUAUCAGGGCUUUUGGCUUCUACACACUAGGGAAAGCUCAGAUGGCACGUUUGACGCAUAGUAAUGUGAAAGGUCCAUUUGGAAGGUGUGUACCAGAGUGAAGAGGCAGUUCAGUUUGCAAACAAGCAGCAAUCAGUGGCUAAGAUAGAGAUGGAUAUCUAAAAUAUAACUUUUUGACAAUGUACCAGUAAACACAUGAAACAUUUCUCCAGGCUCUCCCUCUACAAUAACUGUCUUUGUAGCCUGGCAGAGAAACAUAAUAAAGAACAAAGAAUGAAAUCAGUGCAUGUAUGAGUUUGUCCUCCAUGUUUUUCGAUUUCACAGCAUAGCUAGUCCUGCCUUUCCAAGAUUCUCAUUGGUCAAUGCAUGCCAACGGUAGAAUGCACUGCAGCAGAAGUUGAAAUGUUCUCAUCUUUAGGGCGCUUUCAUAUUAGUGAAAGCAUAAACUCUAGUGUGUAGGCACCUUAGGUCGCAUGAUGGAGCACCACUAUUGCAAACCUUUGAGUUUUACACCUCUGUCCUUCUGAUGCACCAAUCCUGUUGAAAUCUAUGAAUUCGUAAACUUCAGUGUUCAGGCGCCCUUAGUUGCCCAAUUGAAACUGUAUUUCUUUUCUGUGUCACAUUUCAACACACAGUUUCAAAUCAAACCAGACAGCUAGUAGAUGUGAAUCAUUAUUGUAGGUGUACCGUAGUGACCUCAGGUAAGAGCAAGAAGGCAGUUUUGAACAGAUUUCUUCUACUUACUGUAGUAGUUAAUACUGUUCAUUUCUACAAAAAAAUAAAAUAAAAUAAUAAUAAUAAUAUAACACUUAAAUGAGAAAUCCUCCACAGUGUGCCUUCAAAAUGGGUUUCAAUGCUUGAUUUUAAAAUUCAAGAUUGGAGUUCUGGUGUGAAAACCUUCUUUAAAGGAGGCAAAAAUGUAUAAUAUCUGCAAUCAUAUUUGUUAUCUGAUAAUAAAACAUACAAAAAGGACAAAAAUGCCCUCUCUGACAAAAACUGUGGCAAUACCAUAGUACAGUAAUGGUAUUAGAUACUAAAACAGUGGUACACCAAUAUACAGUAUAUGGUAUUAUCAUUAGCACAUGGUGAUUUAAAAAAGUGUGUUAAUACCAUUGUACCUUGAGUCCUUUUUUGUUAGUGCAAGCUAUUUUAUAUCAUAUAAUGACAUAAUUAAUUUAUAAUGACCUAACUUAGAAACAAGUCUUGCGGUCACCUUGUAUAAGGUAAUUUUGGCCCGAUUGUGUUUGUUAAAUUGCUAUGCUUGGAGUGCACUAAGUGAUUUGAGAAUGAGUAUGAGUGUGUGUGAUUCUUGAACAUGCAGGUGAGUUCAAACAGAUGAGAGAGCAGAUCUGACGUAUGUCGGGUGGGAUUACCUCGUCUCCUCGUCACCCUGCCUUCAGUCUGAUCCAGCGAGUAUGAGCCUUGAUUGCUACACCCGUGUGUUAUGUGUUUGUGUGUGUGGCUAUCAGGGUUUAACAUCAGUGCACCACACAAACGCUCUGAACAUCACACAGCAUUUAAUACAAACAAAUCUGUCUUAAUGCAGUGUAAUGAAUGCAAGAGACUGUGGAUACUUGACAUUGGCCAAUCACUAUAGUUAGCUUAAAUUAUCCAUCCAAAAACUUUUUAUAUGUUGUAUUAUGCAUUCAAAAUGCAAAAGAAGUAUUUAAAAGUCUGCAUUAUUUCUUGGUCACUAAUUAAAUGCAAGCAAAUUUGUGACAUUGACCAUGAUAACUUCUUUGCACAAAAUGUCAGAAUUUCGUGCUUUCAUUGAAGUGCACAAGAUGCUUUUUGGAACAUUCUCAAAUCAUGCUGGGAUAAUGCCAGUUCAUGCCAGCUCAAAUGCAUGCUGUCAUUAAAGCAAAAGGCUAUGUUUUUAAUGUUCACCUGAUAUCUUUUAGAUUCUGUAUCGCUUGUGUUAAUAAAAUAACGUAUGUGCAGAAUAAUCUGCAUUUAAAGCUCAUUGGAUGUAAUGACCUACAGGAAGUCUUGGCAUCACAAUCCUUUAUAAUACACAAAAGUAUUUAUAAACAGAAUGAGAGUUUAAUAGCUUGCAGCUGAAGCCCCUCACUGACAAUCCUAGUGUGAGUUCUGUCAGUGAACAUGAGUCAAGAUGGAGAGGCUUUUUUUAGCCUGAUUUCUUCCCCGAUCUUCUUACUGCUAUGACGAAGACUGUGCUCUUUAUUUAGAAUUGCGCAGAAAAGAUUACAGUAUUAGGAAGUGAACAAAGACCUAGAGACAAGCAAAAUAAACUAUAAUUCUAAUAAUCAGGAUUAACGUCUAAGCUUUGUGAUAUGUUUGUGUGUCUGCAGUAUAUAUAUAUGUGUGUGUGUGUGAUUGUUUUGACAGGAAGUUGUAAGGGGAAAUGGAGAGAAAGAGCUUAAGAAGUUGUGCAGACGUGCUGAGAGCACAAUCAAAACUUGACUUGAAAAUAAAGAAAUCUCUGGUUGUUUUAACACUCAAAAAUAGAUUUUUUUAUUUUUUUUUGCUGCUUGUUCAGUUUACUUAAUUAAAAUGAACUAAAGCAACACAAAUCUAUUUUGAAUUGUAAUUUUAUCACAGCUUGACUUUAUUGUGUUCCAUCAAUUUAAAUGAGAAAAAAUGACAUUUACUUAAUUCACUUGUGUUGGGACUACAUGAAAACAUUUUGUUGUUAAUGUAGCAUUGAUAAAACUGGGCAGGGGAUUUCCAUUUCCCAGCAUGCUUGGCAUGGGACUGGAUACGGAGAACAAGUGUUGAAAUUAAGUGUCAUUUUAUGCUUUUUUGAGCAAGAUGAGACUAUGCGAUUUGUUCAUGUCUAAUGUUAUAUUGGUAUUUGAAAAGAGCAUCUGUUAUGCUGGAGUUUUUGGGGUUACCAUUGUGGUGAAGAAUGGCGCUUGUGCUUAGGUUGACGAUGGACUUUAAUGUUGAAGUGAUACUUGAUUUGAGUGCUGCUUAGCUCUAUUAGCAGUUGCAAUCAAAUUGACAGUGUAACAGUUUCACUGUCCUUACACUUGCUCACCUGGCAUAUACUAAUGAUUACUAAAAUAUAUUAAGUUGGGCCAAAAUAAGAAAAUGACUUAACUAAAACUUUAGUACAUUGAUUUGACCAUACCCAACUAAAUUAUGUUGGCUCAAUGAAACUGAAUUAUUUUUUGAGUAAACAUUUCAUGGUUCAGCCAUGUCCCAGUAUAGCUUUUAUGUGGUAAACAUGUAAUGUUUUCUCGUUUCACUUCAAGGUGAAGUUUCAUUUUCAGCCUUUAUUUGACAAUAAAUAUAACACUUAUUUACACCAGAAUGUUGAAUAUGAGCUACGUGACAAUAUGAUCUAAAUGAAAAUAUGAGCCAUGAAAUAGGCUAAAAGUAUAACUCAUUUUAAUAUAUUAUCAGUCUGCUCAAAAGCUGAAUAUCCUAAUUUUCCUUAGAAAACAGGAAGAAAAUCCUGUGGUCUUUUUUUGAAGUUAUUGUAAUGGCAUGACAACAAAUAACAAUGAUUCCUUUCAAUUUUCAAAUAAAUGACCUAUAAUAUUGUACAUGGAGCUUUUGUAUCCAACUACAAAUUGUCAUUAUCUGUUGACACAGACAUCUGUUUUGUUUCAAUGUCCAAUGCUGAUGCCAAUAUCUAGAGAUACAUUUUUUUAACACUAAUACAUUUAUAUCUAUGCACUUGGCAGACACUUUAAUAAGUGACUUACAGUUCAAUUAAAGUAUACAUUCUAUUAGUAUGCUCUAGAAAUAAA